rnacentral:rRNA from 1 species
CCUACGGGCGGCAGCAGUGGGGAAUAUUGCACAAUGGGGGAAACCCUGAUGCAGCGACGCCGCGUGAGUGAAGAAGGAUUUCGGUAUGUAAAGCUCUAUCAGCAGGAACGAGACAAGACGGUACCUGACUAAGAAGCACCUACUAACUACGUGCGAGCAGCCGCGGUAAUACGUAGGGGGCAAGCGUUAUCCGGAAUUACUGGGUGUAAAGGGAGCGUAGACGGCUGAGCAAGCCGGAAGUGAAAGGCGGGGGCCCAACCCCCGGACUGCUUUUGAAACUGUACGGCUUGAGUGCAGGAGAGGUAAGUGGAAUUCCUAGUGUAGCGGUGAAAUGCGUAGAUAUUAGGAGGAACACCAGUGGCGAAGGCGGCUUACUGGACUGUAACUGACGUUGAGGCUCGAAAGCGUGGGGAGCAAACAGGAUUAGAUACCCCAGUAGUC